AUUGAACGCUGGCGGCAGGCCUAACACAUGCAAGUCGAACGAGUGGCGGACGGGUGAGUAAUGUCUGGGAAACUGCCCGAUGGAGGGGGAUAACUACUGUAAACGGUAUCUAAUACCGCCUACCACCUGAUGUGCCCAGAUGGGAUUAGCUUGUAGGUGUGGUAACGGCUAACCUAGGCGACGAUCCCUCUCUGGUCUGUGAGGAUGACCAGCCACACUGGAACUGAGACACGGUCCAGACUCCUACGGGAGGCAGCAGUGGGGAAUAUUGCACAAUGGGCGCAAGCCUGAUGCAGCCAUGCCGCGUGUAUGAAGAAGGCCUUCGGGUUGUAAAGUACUUUCAGCGGGGAGGCGUUACCCGCAGAAGAAGCACCGGCUAACUCCGUGCCAGCAGCCGCGGUAAUUC
rnacentral:rRNA from 1 species